UGCAGAAUUGAUUUAAAACAUCAGCACAGCCUUUCCAGCCUCAGCGCUAGACCCUACAGCUGCCGAGAUGUUGAUGCCUAAGAAGAAAUGGAUUGCCAUUUAUGAACUCCCACGGUGGCCAAGAAGGAUGCCCACAUGCCUAAGCACCUGGAGCUGGCAGAUAACAAUAUGCCCAACCUUCAUGUCAUGAAGGCCAUGCAGUCUCUCAAGUCCUGAGGCUACAUGAGGGAACAGUUUGCCUGGAGGAGUUUCUAUUGGUGCCUUACCAAUGAGGGUAUCCGGUAUCUCCGUGACUACCUUCACCUGCCCCCAGAAAUUGUGCCUGCCACCCUACGCUGCAGCGGUCCAGAAACUUGCAGGCCUGGGCCUAAAGGUCUGGAGGGUGAACGACCUGCAAGACUCGCAAGAGGGGAAGCCGACAGAGACACCUACAGAUGGAGUGCCGUGCCGCCUGGUGCAGACAAGAAAGCCGAGGCUGGGGCUGGGUCAGCAACCCAAUUCCAGUUUAGAGGCAGAUUUGGUCAUGGACGUAGUCACCCACCUCAGUAAAAUUGGAGAGGAUUAUUUUGCAUUGAAUAAACUUACAGCCAAAAAACCUUUAAAAAAA